rnacentral:rRNA from 1 species
UAACACGUGGGCAAUCUGCCCUUCACUCUGGGACAAGCCCUGGAAACGGGGUCUAAUACCGGAUAAUACUCCUGCCUGCAUGGGUGGGGGUUGAAAGCUCCGGCGGUGAAGGAUGAGCCCGCGGCCUAUCAGCUUGUUGGUGGGGUAAUGGCCUACCAAGGCGACGACGGGUAGCCGGCCUGAGAGGGCGACCGGCCACACUGGGACUGAGACACGGCCCAGACUCCUACGGGAGGCAGCAGUGGGGAAUAUUGCACAAUGGGCGAAAGCCUGAUGCAGCGACGCCGCGUGAGGGAUGACGGCCUUCGGGUUGUAAACCUCUUUCAGCAGGGAAGAAGCGCAAGUGACGGUACCUGCAGAAGAAGCGCCGGCUAACUACGUGCCAGCAGCCGCGGUAAUACGUAGGGCGCAAGCGUUGUCCGGAAUUAUUGGGCGUAAAGAGCUCGUAGGCGGCUUGUCACGUCGGAUGUGAAAGCCCGGGGCUUAACCCCGGGUCUGCAUUCGAUACGGGCUAGCUAGAGUGUGGUAGGGGAGAUCGGAAUUCCUGGUGUAGCGGUGAAAUGCGCAGAUAUCAGGAGGAACACCGGUGGCGAAGGCGGAUCUCUGGGCCAUUACUGACGCUGAGGAGCGAAAGCGUGGGGAGCGAACAGGAUUAGAUACCCUGGUAGUCCACGCCGUAAACGUUGGGAACUAGGUGUUGGCGACAUUCCACGUCGUCGGUGCCGCAGCUAACGCAUUAAGUUCCCCGCCUGGGGAGUACGGCCGCAAGGCUAAGACUCAAAGGAAUUGACGGGGGCCCGCACAAGCAGCGGAGCAUGUGGCUUAAUUCGACGCAACGCGAAGAACCUUACCAAGGCUUGACAUAUACCGGAAAGCAUCAGAGAUGGUGCCCCCCUUGUGGUCGGUAUAC